AUUGUGAACUCAUUGUUGGUUGGUUGGUGUUGGUUUACAUCUUGAAAUCAGUAAAUAAUCCUUGGGCUGAAACUUAUGAUCUUUGAGAGUUCACAGAAUGAAUUUCAAAAACCAGAUGAGUUUUGCUGGGUGUUUCAAGAUGGCCAAACAGGAACAGCUCCAGUCUACAGCUCCCAGCGUGAUCAAUGCAGAAGAAAGGUGAUUUCUGCAUUUCCAACUGGGGUACUUGGUUCAUCUCAUUGGGACUGGUUGGACAGUGGGUGCAGCCCACAAAGGGUUAUCCUCGAUACUUGGAUAAUGUCCAUAUAUGGUGCUGAUUUUGGCCAUGUAACUUUAUUUUAUGUUAUGGUGAGUAGAUUAAAUCUCUGAAAUUUUAGGCUUUGUCAUGUCACUUGCUUUAAUCAAAUAAAUAUUUACUGGUGUGACACAAGCAAACACCUGAAGCUUAC
rnacentral:lncRNA from 1 species